AAAAGGGAAAAUAAAUAUUUAUUUUUCAAAAUGACAUGUUAAUAUAUAUAUAUAAAUAUUUUUGAUAUUAUUAUUAGACCAAAAGUCAAGAGGAAGUGUAACUAAACGUACACAACCUUGCUUACACUUUAAUCUACUGAAGUAAUUCUACAGGGUGGUAUAAAGGUCAUGCACAAUCAUGGUGAUUUUCUAUGUCCUGCCCUUAUAGCUGUUCGAAAUAUGUCGUUGAUAUCAUGACACAGUGUCAGUCAGGGUGUUAUAUUGCACAGGGUGUAAUUUUUCCAGGUUAUUGGGAAGUGUGAUAAAAGAAAAUGUAUAAUUGUGUAGAAUCAGGAGAGUGCAUAGUUAUUGGCAUCACAACCACUUGUUGUACAUGACUUACAAAUAUCAUAGCAAGGUCAAGAUUUAGAAAUACUAUGGUGGUGGUAUAAGAUCUUUCCAAUCACCCUUUGCUUAGUUUUUGCACAAGAAAUGAAAUUUAAAUAAUUUUAUAUAUUUAUACCAUCAUUUUUAAGGCAUUUCUUUUACAUGGUUAAAUUCCUUUACUUAAAAUGUUAAGUGGUUUUAAAUCCCUUGAUUCUCUAAUGGAUGGGAUUAGUGUAUAACACUGGUGGUGAUACUGUGUGACAAACGGCUGAUGCUAAAAUUGCACUUAAACUUAUUAAAACCAUUUUAAUCAAGCAAUGUAGUUUAUUAAAGUCCAGCUUUGUAACUUUUAAUGUUAUUGACAAGAUUUUUAUCUUGUACAAGUUUAUCAAGUUGAAAAGGUAUUUAACGUAUAUUAGUUUGACACUUUUGUCUGUAUUUGCAACUAGAAUUAACCCAGUUGAUUGUGCUUCCCCCCAAAAUAAAUGUAACAAAUAAGUUAGUCGUCUUUCAUCACGCCAGUAAAAGUGUAAUUACACGCAAUGUGAAAAAGAGGUUUAAAUCACAUUUGAAUUUAUUGUGUGAUCUUUCAGUUGUUAGACUGCUUCUAAAAGCAUACAAUUAAAACUAGUUCUCAUGUGGCAAAACCAUGUUUUCAUAUGCAUUUUGGUUAGUGAGAUAGUGUUGUUCAUACACUAAUUUCUGCUUGAUGUUCAGGAUUUUGUAGAUAAUUUUUUUUUUAUUGUUAAUAUAUUGAAAAUCUGUACAAAAUCAUAAAAAUUUGUAUGAUUCGACCUGCAUCUGGUAACUGUCAAAAAUUUAUUUUUGGAAGUAGGCCAUUUCAUUCACAUUAUAUUUAAGUCUACAAAUUUCAUCUUUAACUCCUUGUACACUGUUAUGUGAAGAACAUAACUGCCCAGAAACUACAGGUGUGAAGUCUGUGUAGUUUUUAUUUAAUAAAAAGGUGUAACAAGUAAUUCAACCAUUGUACGUCAAACAAGACUGUUAUUGGACUGUAUGGUCCAACACAGCAGUGUAAAUCUUUGGCAGCUACACUCCUUAAAAAUUUAUAAAAUUUGUCUAUAACAUAGUAAUAUCUCAACUUUAUAUGUGUAUAAUAAUGGUUGGAGACGGCUUGAAUGGGUAAUGAAGAAAAACUUUAAUACAAGCUUAACCAAACACCAAAUGUACAAUGUUUCAACAAGGUUUUACAUUUGCUGUUGUGUUAAACUUAUAUUAAAGUUUUUCUUCAUUACCCAUUCAAGCCGUCUCCAACCAUUAUUAGUCUCAAAGUGGGUUCCUCGUCAUCAAAUUUAUAUGUGUAUGGCACUUUCUAAAACUUGUAAUAGUUUUGUUCAAUUACAAAGAUUUUCAUGCUUCUAAAAGCAAGGUAAAACGAAAAUAUUGAAUCAUCUAUUUCACACUGUAAUUGUUAAUCCCAUUGCUUUAUUUACAUUGCAUUUGUUAUACAUUUUAAGCAUCCCAAAAAUGUUUAAUGAAUCAGAUUUGGUCUUUACAGCAAGUGAAUUUAUGAGCAGCACGAAAUGGUUGUAUUUUACCAAAAGUAUUCCUUUCUUGACAAAGUUACCUUUUCCCAUUAUAUAUGCAAUUGUUAUUAUAGCAUAAAGAAUUGAAUUUAAGGUUGGAUAUUUGCAUUUAAAAAGCAGGAUGAUGAUGAUGAUGAUGAUAAAUGUUUGCCUACAAAUCUCAUCCUAAAGUGGAAUACUUGUAUUAUUUUAGUGUAUAUAAUACUUUAUAUAUUUUAAAAUAUAUAUGAAAUGUAGUAGUAAAAUACAGAGUACUUUUAUUGUGGUUGAUUUUCAAAUGGUUAAAGGGUCAGUUUUUGUACAAACUUAUUAUUGGGUUGUAGAGAUAGGAUUAGAAUAACUAAAUUAGUACAUGAAGCAAAGCAGUUUUCUUAUGUUACAAAUUUUUACAUGCAUUGUUUAAUUUGUUUGUUUGUCUUCUCAGUAUAUAAUACAUCUACUAAAUAAUAGUACAUCUUCCAUAAGGCUUAAUCAAAACUAGAAACUUAAGUACUGAUUACUUUUGUAAGGUAAUAUUCUAAAAGUGGUAGUUACUUUUUAAAUUUAUUUUUAAUAUAUAAUUAUUCCUCACAAAAUGUUGAUUAGAAAGAUUGUACACUUAAAAAAACGUUUUGUAGACUCUUCCUCCAUGUUAACCUCUCUGACAGAAGUUGUGUAGAUUCAUCUGGAAAAACAGUAAACAUCUGUGAUUUUUAGUUUUCAAUUUUCAAAAAAAUCUAUUCUAUUGUAAUUGUAUAGUAGCUUCAAAACAGUGAAUAAGUUUUUAAUUUACUCAAUCCUAAGUGUUCAUUAGUCUAAGUGGUAAAUGUCUCGAGUUAAUCCCCCUAUGACAGAUGCUCUGUUUAAAAUGUAAUUUUCACAAUUAACUGCUCACUACCAUGCUCCAAAACUUUACAUAUUUUCUUAACUUUAAAAUAAUUACAACUUUUUGCACUGACUGUUUGUGUUAACCCAACCAUUAAAACGUAAGAACUUGCUGUAAUCUAGCAUUACCCAGUGGUAAGUUUCCAGACGUACAAUGAUAAAGUCUGGUGUUUUAUUCUACACUGUGGAUAGAAUGUAGAUAGCAUAUUGUGCUAAAAAAUCAACAAAAAGUAAUCCAGCAUCAUAGACAAUAUAUAUAAUGAUCUAAUUACUGUCGUUAUGGGCUAUUUGUGCUCUGUUAAUCACAGAGAAUUAAACCCUGGCUUUUAUCAUUGUAAGUUCAUAAACUUUUCACUUAUCCACCAGGGGAUACCAUUGUUUGGGUGAGAAAAGUAAUAUGUAAAUUAAUGCUGUUUUGUCACUUAAUAUAAGGGGGGAAAGAUGUUACAAGACACACUGUAUUUAAAUGUGAAUUUAGUAGUUUUUAUCCUGUAUUCCCUCGAUAAAAUAAAGAUAUAUGUUAUGGGCA
rnacentral:lncRNA from 1 species